ACGGAGGGUGCAAGCGUUGUUCGGAAUUACUGGGCGUAAAGCGCGUGUAGGCGGACUCAGAAGUCGGGUGUGAAAGCCCCGGGCUUAACUCGGGAAGUGCGCUCGAAACCAUGGGUCUUGAGAACCGGAGGGGAUCGGGGAAUUCCCAGUGUAGAGGUGAAAUUCGUAGAUAUUGGGAGGAACACCGGUGGCGAAGGCGCCGAUCUGGACGGUUUCUGACGCUGAGACGCGAAAGCGUGGGUAGCAAACAG
rnacentral:rRNA from 1 species